rnacentral:rRNA from 1 species
GACGAACGCUGGCGGCGUGCUUAACACAUGCAAGUCGAACGGAAAGGCCCUGCUUUUGUGGGGUGCUCGAGUGGCGAACGGGUGAGUAACACGUGAGUAACCUGCCCUUGACUUUGGGAUAACUUCAGGAAACUGGGGCUAAUACCGGAUAGGAGCUCCUGCUGCAUGGUGGGGGUUGGAAAGAUUCGGCGGUUGGGGAUGGACUCGCGGCUUAUCAGCUUGUUGGUGGGGUAGUGGCUUACCAAGGGUUUGACGGGUAGCCGGCCUGGGAGGGUGACCGGCCUCAUUGGGACUGCGGUACGCCCCAGACUCCUACGGGCGGCAGCAGUGGGGAAUAUUGCACAGUGGGCGGAAGCCUGAUGCAGCAACGCCGCGUGCGGGAUGACGGCCUUCGGGUUGUAAACCGCUUUCGCCUGUGACGAAGCGUGAGUGACGGUAAUGGAUAAAGAAGCACCGGCUAACUACGUG